CACUCCCCACUCUCUCCUCCACUCCCACACACUCUCCUCCUACCUCUCCCCACGAAAUUUCUGCUCCUCCUAGCUUCAUGGCCGGCCAUGGCCAUGGAAAGCUCACCAAGAUGCAGCUCCUUCCUCCCUCAAGCUCAUCCUCACCAUGAGAGCCUCCCCCUCCAUCUUCUCCCCAACCUUAGAUGGUUUAAUCUCCUCUUAUUCUCCCUCCAUUGCUAAGAUUGGAUCUUGAUGCAGGUGCAUGUUGGUCCAAGCAUGGAGAAGGUUGAGCUAUCCUCAGAUCUGAUGUUCUUGAGCAAAGUUCGUCCAAAACCUUGCAGUAAUUUCUGUUUCUUGCUGUUUCAGAUUCUGGUACGAUCUUGUAAAAUCCGCCAAAUCUCCUGUGCAGAUCCAAAUCGAGUGGUUCAAAGUUCUGCAGAUAGGGGAUACUUAGUUGUGCCAUGGUGAUACCUAGAGAGGCAAUUGCUAAGUCGUGGCACUCUCAUACCUUUACUAGAUGCGAACAAUUUCGGAGGAGAAGAAGAAGAAGUGGAAUCGGACAAGGAUUUUAUUUGUACUGUGGGAAUUCUUAUUUGAUGGAGUUGAAGAAUUCCAGGGACAAAUAA